rnacentral:lncRNA from 1 species
GACCACAAUCUUGCAACACACGCAGCUUCUUACUUAAAUCUCUGCAAUUUUUUAAGCUUCUCGGGUUUAUCAAGGAGCCUCUGAUCAGUAUCAUCCUACUCAUAUUAGCUCUAGAUAAAAAUAAAUGAGGGAUUUCAUGGGACAUAAUUGGGUAUUGAUUCCUCUCCUUCGAUGAACAUCUAUGGAUUUUGAUCCAAUUAUGCUUUAAUACAAUAGUAACUCAUGUUG